rnacentral:rRNA from 1 species
AGAGUUUGAUCCUGGCUCAGAACAAACGCUGGCGGCAUGCUUAACACAUGCAAGUCGAACGAGAAAGUAUCCUUCGGGGUGCUAGUAAGGUGGCGAACGGGUGAGUAACACGUAAGAACCUACCCUUGGGACUGGGAUAACAUCGCGAAAGCGGUACUAAAACCGGAUAACAUCUACGGAUCAAAGGAGGCUUAUGCUUCUACCUGAGGAGGGGCUUGCGCCCCAUUAGCUUGUUGGUGAGGUAACGGCUCACCAAGGCUGCGAUGGGUAGCCGGCCUGAGAGGGUGUCCGGCCACACUGGAACUGAGACACGGUCCAGACUCCUACGGGAGGCAGCAGUGGGGAAUAUUGGUCAAUGGGCGAAAGCCUGAACCAGCAAUGCCGUGUGGGUGAUGAAGCUUUUCGGAGUGUAAAACCCUUUUAUGUGGGAAGAACGCAGUAAGAAUAAUACGUUUACUGUUUGACGGUACCAGAUGAAUAAGCCCCGGCUAACUCCGUGCCAGCAGCCGCGGUAAUACGGAGGGGGCAAGCGUUGUUCGGAAUUACUGGGCGUAAAGGGCGUGUAGGCGGCUUCAUAGGUCAGAUGUGAAAUCCCCAGGCUUAACCUGGGAAUUGCGUUUGAAACCAUGAGGCUUGAGGCUGGGAGAGGAAAGCGGAAUUCCAGGUGUAGCGGUGAAAUGCUUAGAUAUCUGGAGGAACACCAGUGGCGAAGGCGGCUUUCUGGACCAGUCCUGACGCUAAGGCGCGAAAGCGUGGGGAGCGAACGGGAUUAGAUACCCCGGUAGUCCACGCUGUAAACGAUGAGCACUAGGUGUAGCGGGUAUCGACCCCUGCUGUGCCGCAGCUAACGCAUUAAGUGCUCCGCCUGGGGAGUACGUUCGCAAGAAUGAAACUCAAAGGAAUUGACGGGGGCCCGCACAAGCGGUGGAGUAUGUGGUUUAAUUCGAUCCACGCGAAAAACCUUACCAGGGCCUGACAUGUUGGUGGUAGGAAUCCGAAAGGUGACCGACCCCUCGGGGAGCCUUCACAGGUGCUGCAUGGCUGUCGUCAGCUCGUGUCGUGAGAUGUUGGGUUAAGUCCCGCAACGAGCGCAACCCCUACCCUUAGUUGCCAUCAGUUCGGCUGGGAACUCUAAGGGAACUGCCGGUGACAAACCGGAGGAAGGUGGGGAUGACGUCAAGUCCUCAUGGCCCUUACGUCCUGGGCUACACACGUACUACAAUGGUCGGUACAAAGGGUUGCAAGACCGCGAGGUGGAGCUAAUCUCAAAAAACCGGCCUCAAUUCGGAUUGGAGUCUGCAACUCGACUCCAUGAAGUUGGAAUCGCUAGUAAUCGCGGAUCAGUAUGCCGCGGUGAAUACGUUCCCGGGCCUUGUACACACCGCCCGUCACACCACGAAAGUUGGUUGCACUAGAAGUCGUCGGGCUAACCCGCAAGGGAGGCAGGCGCCCAAGGUGUGAUCAAUGAUUGGGGUGAAG